UCGUCAGGCUCGUGUCGUGAGAUGUUGGGUUAAGUCCCGCAACGAGCGCAACCCUCGACCUUAGUUGCCAGCAUUCAGUUGGGCACUCUAAGGUGACUGCCGGCUAAAAGUCGGAGGAAGGCGGGGAUGACGUCAAAUCAUCAUGCCCCUUAUGACCUGGGCUACACACGUGCUACAAUGGGCGGUACAAAGGGUCGCGAACCCGCGAGGGGGAGCCAAUCCCAAAAAGCCGCUCUCAGUUCGGAUUGCAGGCUGCAACUCGCCUGCAUGAAGCCGGAAUCGCUAGUAAUCGCGGAUCAGCAUGCCGCGGUCGAAUACGUUCCCGGGCCUU
rnacentral:rRNA from 1 species